CCAUACCUUCGAUAUAGACAGGAACAGAUCUAUUGAUUUUAAGCAAGACCAUCCGAGCGGCAGCAUGACGCGCGCCGAGAUCUGGGACUUGGUCGAUUCGACCUACCCUGAGUUGUCCGGCAACCGUGUCCGCCGUCCCUUCGAUACAGACAGAAACAGAUCUAUUGAUUUUAAGCAAGACUAUCCGAGCGGCAGCACGUCGCUCCCCGAGGCCUUUGUCUUGUUCGACCUACCCUGAGUUGUCCGCCAACCGUGUCCGCCGUCCCUUCGUUAUAGACAGAAACAGAUCUAUUGAUUUUAAGAAACGCCUAGAUUACGGUGCAGUCUCUUCCGAACGCGUCGCUGGCCCCUGAUCAUUCGUUAACCGUUGGUAGACCGAACCUGCCGGCCAAACAUUUUUUUGGUUUUCAAAAUUCAAAAACAAUUUUUUGGUUUUCAUCAAAAUGUGGUUCGUCCACAUUUUGAUGCCCAAGAGCAACAGCCAAGCUACUCCAGUCAGAACGAUCAAUUAAAUCAUGCAGAGGAUCUUGCUCUGCUGACACAGUCAAUUAAUAAUACAAACUACCCUCAAUUGCUUCUGUCAUUUACUAUCAUUAACUAUAGGCAAUAUACGUGUAGUGUAAUAUACCUUCUUUGGUAGUAUAACAAGUAAGUUAUCUGGAGUUGGUAACUAUUUUUAGAUUUAUACCUUAGUGUGCUAGUUAUCCUUUGUAGAUUUAUUUCGUAGUAUAUCCUAUUUAAAUUUAUACCGCAGAUGACGAGAAUCGCAGAUCAUUGAGAAUUUUUUUUCGAAAUUUCAGUUUCGUCCCAUUUUUGCUGCUUACAAGCAACACUCUGAGUUUCAAGCUUGCUAAAUUUUUGGUCACGGUGUUGAACUGUUUGACAACCAACCAAUAUACGGUAGACAAUUCUUACGUUUUCGUAGACCGCUUGAAGAGUUACACCAAUGUUCAGGAUUUAACUAUGGCUUCAUUUGAUUUAGAGGAUUUGUUUACAAAUAUUCCUCUAAAUGAAAAUAUUGAUUUUUGCCUCAAUUCAUUGUUCAAAGAGAUUAGUGACAUUGU